rnacentral:rRNA from 1 species
CAAGUUGUUGGCGAUCCAGACUCAUGAAUGAAUUCGGAGAAAAGGGACAAUUUGUGUAUGAAUAGGUAGGCAACUACAGUUGUUCAAGUUUUCUAAAGGUUUCUUACCUAUCAGCUUUCGACGGUACGGUAUUGGCGUAACGUGGCUGUGACGGGUGACGGGGAAUUAGGGUUCGAUUCCGGAGAGGGAGCCUGGGAAACGGCUGCCACCUCCAAGGAGGGCAGCAGGCGCGCAAAUUACCCAAUUCUGAAUUAGGGAGGUAGUGACGAGAAAUAACGACACAGAGCAAGAAAUUGUUUCGUGAUAGGAAUGGAGUUUACACAAAUAGUGAACUGAGGAUCUAUUGGAGGGCAAGUCUGGUGCCAGCAGCCGCGGUAAUUCCAGCUUCAAUAGCGUAUAUUAAAGUUGUUGCAGUUAAAAAGCUCGUAGUUGAACCUUGGGCCCGGCUGGCCGGUCCGCCUCACCGCGUGUACUGGUCCGGCCGGGCCUUUCCCUCCGUGGAACCUCAUGCCCUUCACUGGGUGUGACGGGGAAGCAGGACUUUUACUGUGAAAAAAUUAGAGUGCUCCAAGCAGG